UUCAGCUUGGUGUAAUGGCUGGCACUCUGGACUCUGAAUCCAGUGCUCUGAGUUCAACUCUCAGUGGAAC
rnacentral:tRNA from 1 species